GAGUUUGAUCUUGGCUCAGAUUGAACGCUGGCGGCGUGCUUAACACAUGCAAGUCGAGCGGCAGCGCGGUAGCAAUACUGGCGGCGAGCGGCGAACGGGUGAGUAAUGCUUCGGAAUCUUCCUCGUAGUGGGGAAUAACCUGGGGAAACUCAGGCUAAUACCGCAUACGAACUACGGUUGAAAGCAGGGGAUCGCAAGACCUUGCGCUAUGAGAUGAGCCGAAGUCGGAUUAGCUAGUUGGUAGGGUAACGGCCUACCAAGGCGACGAUCCGUAGCUGGUCUGAGAGGACGACCAGCCACACUGGGACUGAGACACGGCCCAGACUCCUACGGGAGGCAGCAGUGGGGAAUAUUGGACAAUGGGGGCAACCCUGAUCCAGCGACGCCGCGUGUGUGAAGAAGGCCUGCGGGUUGUAAAGCACUUUUAGUGGGGAUGAAAAGCCGAGGGCUAAUACUCUUCGGUCUUGACCUAACCCAAAGAAAAAGCACCGGCUAACUCUGUGCCAGCCGCCGCUGUAAU
rnacentral:rRNA from 1 species